GGGCCGCUCUCCCUUUUCCGCUCCCGCGGCCAUGCGGGCCCGGUGUCCCUCGGGCGGCCCCGCCGAUGAACAUAUAUCAGCUACACUCCUCCUUCCUGUGGCUUCAGCGCAGGUCUGCCCCCAAAUGUGGAGACCUAAAGCUACUUCUUCCC